rnacentral:misc_RNA from 1 species
UACGGGGAGUGCAAGCGUUGUUCGGAAUUAUUGGGCGUAAAGCGCGCGUAGGCGGCUCGAAUAGUCUGAAGUGAAAGCCCUCGGCCCAACCGAGGAAGUGCUUUGGAUACUCUCGAGCUUGAGUCCCGGAGGGGCGGGUGGAAUUCCCAGUGUAGAGGUGAAAUUCGUAGAUAUUGGGAGGAACACCAGUGGCGAAGGCGGCCCGCUGGACGGUGACUGACGCUGAGGCGCGAAAGCGUGGGGAGCAAACAGG